rnacentral:rRNA from 1 species
UACGUAGGGUGCAAGCGUUGUCCGGAAUUAUUGGGCGUAAAGAGCUCGUAGGCGGUUUGUCGCGUCUGCUGUGAAAACCCGAGGCUCAACCUCGGGCCUGCAGUGGGUACGGGCAGACUAGAGUGUUGCAGGGGAGACUGGAAUUCCUGGUGUAGCGGUGAAAUGCGCAGAUAUCAGGAGGAACACCGGUGGCGAAGGCAGAUCUCUGGGCCGUAACUGACGCUGGAGGAGCGAAAGCAUGGGGAGCGAACAGG